rnacentral:rRNA from 1 species
CCUACGGGGGGCUGCAGUGGGGAAUAUUGGACAAUGGGGGGAACCCUGAUCCAGCCAUGCCGCGUGUGUGAAGAAGGCCCUCGGGUUGUAAAGCACUUUCAGUGAGGAAGAACGCCUGGUGGUUAAUACCCAUCAGGAAAGACAUCACUCACAGAAGAAGCACCGGCUAACUCCGUGCCAGCAGCCGCGGUAAUACGGAGGGUGCGAGCGUUAAUCGGAAUUACUGGGCGUAAAGCGCGCGUAGGUGGCUUGAUAAGCCGGUUGUGAAAGCCCCGGGCUCAACCUGGGAACGGCAUCCGGAACUGUCAAGCUAGAGUGCAGGAGAGGAAGGUAGAAAUCCCGGUGUAGCGGUGAAAUGCGUAGAGAUCGGGAGGAAUACCAGUGGCGAAGGCGGCCUUCUGGACUGACACUGACACUGAGGUGCGAAAGCGUGGGUAGCAAACAGGAUUAGAUACCCGAGUAGUC